CGAUGGUUACUACGAGCAAACUGAUGAGGUCAUUCAAUUUAGAUCAGAAUACGAAAUGAGGAAAAUGAAAUAGGCUUGUAACUUUCCAAUUCUAGUUCAUUGAUUCCCUUUUCACUGCUAGUUUUACAUGGAACCAUCACAUAACCGAAUGUUAAAUUCGACAGGAUGAAGGACUAGAUGUUAUUUCAGAAGUUUUGGACACAUUGAAAAAUUUAGCUCGUGACAUGAAUGAGGUUUCCCUUAUGAUCCCAGACUUGUGUACUAAAAUCGUUCUGUUCUCAUGAAAUGAAACUAUUUCUUGAUCAUCGUUUUAUUUCAUUCUAUUUCAAGAAUUGGAUAUGCAAGUUUCGUUGAUUGAUGAAAUCGAUACAAAGAUUGAUAAGGCAAGUAAGCAACUAGUGAUAUAAAAAACAAUAAUGUCAAACUCAAGGAAAACAUUAACAAGGUAUGGUCCAGCAGCAGCUUCUGUAUCGAUAUAAUACUUAUCUGUAUUCUUCUGGGAAUUGCGGCCUAUCUUUACAAGUAAGUUCAAUC